rnacentral:rRNA from 1 species
GACGUAGGGCGCGAGCGUUGUCCGGAUUUAUUGGGCGUAAAGAGCUCGUAGGCGGCUUGUCGCGUCGACCGUGAAAACCCGUGGCUCAACUACGGGCUGGCGGUCGAUACGGGCAGGCUGGAGUUCGGUAGGGGAGACUGGAAUUCCCGGUGUAGUGGUGGAAUGCGUAGAUAUCGGGAGGAACACCAGUGGCGAAGGCGGUUGCCUGGGGCUUUGCUGACGCUGAUGCGCGAAAGCGUGGGGAGCGAUCCGG